rnacentral:lncRNA from 1 species
GGGGGGGGGGGGGGGGGGGAGGGGGAAGUGUUUAGAAAGUAUUUAGUGACCUAUUGUAACAAACAUCUUUAAAGAGACCACUAUUUUUAAUGUGCAUUAGAUUUCAGUGUGACUGAGUGCUGGCAUAGGCUGGAAGGACUGGGUCCUUGGCUAUCCAGUGAUAUCCAUCUGAAUAUCUUAUACAAGAAGGGAAGACUGUACUACCGUGUGUAUAUAUAUGUACAUAUAUAUGGGUAGGUUGGUGACGCACUGGAACAGGUUGCCCAAGGAGGCUGUGGAUGCCCCAUCCCUGGAGGCAUUCAUGGCCGGGCUGGAUGUGGCUCUGGGCAGCCUGGUCUGGUGGUUGGCGGCCCUGCACAUAGCAGGGGAGUUGAAACUCGAUGAUCAUUGUGGUCCUUUUCAACUCAGGCCAUUCUGUGAUUCUAUGAUUCUAUAUUGAGUGUAGUAUUUCAAAGCGUGUUCUUGUUAAUUUGUUCCUUUUACUGCACAAUCCUGUGUGCUAUUUCAUAUCUUUAGAAUUGUGGUAAUGUAAUGUACAUCUCCUGUGUCCUUGCAGCCCCAGGGGAACAUACUUUCCCCUCCAGACGAUCGGCUAACAGCUUAAUUGCCACAAUCAGGAGGAAAUAGCAGACUUGUUUCAGAUACACACUUCAGAUAACAAUAUACAGACUCCCUUGUGCAACAGUUACAAGGAAAGCAGCAGAUGUAAGAAAAUGAAGACACCCAAGAACAGUGUUUAAGCAAUAUCUUAGUAAGUUUCAGAUGUUCCUUCAUCAACGUGUGAUAUCAAUUACCUCCCGUGUCAUCCCUUCCUGUUUUCUUCACUAUUAAAAAUCCUUCUGAAUUUCCCUUCUAAAUCAGAGGGUUUCAUCCUUGAAAGCAGCUUCUACAACAGAGAUCAAGGCAACUUUCAGUGAGUCACAAGUCCUUAUGUGAGGGCACUCCUCCAGCAUCACUGCUUACGUCCCAGAGAGCUCAGUUCAGAGCAUUUUGAGAGGAGUGAUCAGAAAUAAUAAGUGGGAAAACAAACAAAAUGCAACAGACCUGAGGAGUUCACGUGCAUGUCUUUGGAACGAACAAAUACCUUUUCAAGAAACUAAGGGCAAGAUGUUCUUCCUUGAGCUUCCAAGAGCUUCUUUGCUUUCCCGUUCUGAUUCACAAGGAGGAGAUGAUCUCGACAGAAAAAAUAUGGUCUUUGGUAGAGUAUAUGGUUUUCUGACAUAAAAGGCUCCAGCAGAAGAACAUAUGUGGGAUAACAAAGCUCAGUAGAAACCAACUAUCUGAAAAAGAAGGUGAGUCGCUAUUAGAAUUCUAUAGCAGAAUGGUAACAAUUUUGGCAUGGGUUUACUAUGACACACAAUACAAGGAAAAAAAAGAUUUUUCUUGUUGUAUAAGAACACAGUAUAUCACAAGGUAGAUCUUUGCUAAAUUAGUUUUAAAAUAAUGUGAAGUAUGGUUCUUGUAAAGCAGUAGAAAUGCUGGCUUUUUUCAUACUUUGUUUUACGCUUACUGUCAAAUCUUACAGCAGUUUUUACAGGUUCUUUCCUCAAAGCUUGCAAGAAAUGUAGGAAUAUUCUGAAAGCACUGCAUCAGUGAAAAACUAUUUUUCUUCACUGCAUUAUAAGUUAAAUGCACGGUAGAUUUCGAAAGGAAAUGUGUAAAGUGAGGGCUACUGCUUACCAUUAUUCUUUAAGUUAAUGAAAACGGAUAUAAUCGAGUUACUUGUAUCACGUAGAUUAGUAAGUUUCUAUGAGAACCUCAAAUGAAUUCAAUCAGUAUUUAUGCACGUAUAUUCAAAGUCACUUAAGAUUGUUUUCUUUCCUCUCAUAGGGACAGCUGGGAAUCCUGCAUCUAAGAAAUGCUGCAAUCAGGAUCCAGCUUUUAUAGGCUCUCGGAAAAGGAGAGAUGCUCUGGUAUCCACCUUGGGCUGAGACUGAGAUUCCCAAAUUCUAACAUGUGUUGAAGCAAAGCUGUGUGUAGAUAAUUCCUGAGUAGCCAAGCAGAUUGUCCUGGCUGAUACUGAAAGCUGUUGGUACAGCAACUUCUACUACUGCUCCCUACAGUGACUGCAGUGGGUAGUGAGCAAGAUGGAUUUGGGAACCACCAAGCUGGAUGUGUUUAUUCAACUGCUGACUGAGGUAAUGUGUUCUUACUUUAGUUGAAGAAGAACAAGAGAACACUAAUGAGCAUGGAGAAUAUACAGAAGUUAAUGAAAGCAACAUAAAUAGGUGGUGGAAAAAGAUAAGCCCUGUUAGCUGGGUGAAAAGGGAACUAGAGACCAUGGCCUGAGCAUACAAAAUGUAUUUGGUGUUUUUUUUCCCCUGUUUUCCUGACAAAUACAGCAAGAACUAAAUGCUGAGGAGAAAAAGCACCAUAGAAACAAAUAGCUAGGGACAUCUUUGCUUAAUAUGAACUUCCAGUGGAAACUGAAAAGUGGAGCAGCUAGCAUUAACCAUUUUUUAACACAGCUAUUCAAAUCUUGUUGAAUUACACAACUUGUAUUGAAAUAAAUAGGAACUGCUGGUCCUGAGUUUUAUUACAAAUUAGGCCACUUGAGAAAUAGUUGCAUAACUGGUCUGAAAUAAGUAAUUGCUGUAAGUCUGUAAGUUUAGAUGUUGCUGAAGUUUAAGCGGGUGGCUUAGUCUUCAGUACUUUUUUGCUUUAUUAUUAUUCAAGUAUGCAUCAAAUUUCUGUAAUCACUUUCUCAAGGAGCCUUAGAAUUGUCUACUGACACAAGUGAUCUGAAACAAUACAUUUGAGUAAGUGGGAAGCACACCAUUAGCACAUCCCUUGGUCCGUAGCUUACAAAACAGUAGUUCAAACUUUAGGACAUCUAGUACCAAAACAAAAACAUCGUGAUCUAGCGGCUGAAUCAGUAUAAACUCAAGCUGCCAAUACAACAUUGUUCAAAUGGGUUGGUCAUUAAUUUGUGGGACAGGUAACUUCAAGCUGUCCGGCUUUCUGUGGUUCUGCUGUUGUGUGCCUGACUCGACCUUUCCUAGUUUGCCCAGAUUUCUUUUUAAUAGCUCAUUUUUGUCAUUCCCACUUUCUAUGCUCAGAUAUAUUGUUUAAGUUUUCAGAUUCCCUAUCCUCAUUCCUUUUUUCAUUGGAUACUCACAGAACAUUCACUCAACAGAUUUUAUCUUUGUCACAGAUCCUGACCUAUCCAAAUGCUCAGAAACUUGUGACCACCUCCUUUUUGUUGUUGUUUUUAAUCGUCUUUUUUUUCCUUUGGCCUCUGUAUGAGCUACAUGGCUGCAGUUGCCACAUCUUUAUGACGUGCUCUGUCUCUGUGGCUCUAAACAGAGGCUGUACCAUCUGCCUCCUUCUGGUCUGGCCUGAUACUUUCCUCUCUUUGGAACUGCCCAACUCAAUUUUGAAGAAGGAAAUGCAAAUGACUUGGACAUCAAUUCUGGUCAAAAACUGGUGGUAAACUAAAGCCAUGUGUGAAAAGUUGGCAUUUCUCUUUUCCCCAACUAAUUGUUAAUCAUGUGACAAAUUGGAGAUGGUGUAUCAGAGGGGAUAGGAUUUUAGCUCAGGAGAGUGAAGCUCUGUCUCUAGACAUUUCCCAUAACAGUGAGAUUUUCUGUCAGCUACAGCAGCCAUCACUUCUCUCUCCACAAAUUCAGUAUGCCCACGCAUGCCUUCUAUAGUAGCAACUCUGUCACCUUCUUGUCAUCCUAAGAAUGAGCAGACUUGACUCUAUCAGCAAGCAGCCUUGAUAGCCUAUCUGGAUACACUGUGCAUUUUUUCUGGCUGGAAGGCUAGCAAAUCACUUUUUAUGGGAACUUUGGAGUGGCAAGGAUAGUCUUUUGGGGCAUAUUUUCUUGCCCAAAGAGUAUUGGGUGAACUGCUAGGAACAAAAACUAUAUGCCUUAGCCAAAAGAAGAAAUUGCUCUUCAGAGGAUUGGAUACAUGGGGACAGGAAGAAAGAGAGAGAGAUGUGUUUAUCACAGAGAAAAGCUACCCAAUUGAGGAAAGUCUAGCAUGCUUCACUGUUUACCAUGAGCUCAGGGGACCAGAGAUCUUCUGAAGUGUGUAUCAUCUCCAGAAUUUCACUGGAUGCUUGCGUUCUCCAAACAAUCUCCAAUCUAACAAGCAAUGCUAUCAUGCAGUUGGUGAUACCCAGCCUCCAAAUAAUUGCAGAAGUCUGCUUCUCAGCUAAGUAACACUACUCAUGUCUGUUUCUACACUUCGUAUGUUCAGAAGAGAUCUCUGUCCUCUGUUCUGUUUCUUUCUAUUGUCAUUGCCCCCCAAGAAUAGCUUAAGACCAAAUUAAUGGUAAGGAGGCUAAAUGGACUUUGAUACUAAUGCAUUUCUAGUCACAGAUAAAUAUUAAAUGUUAAGAAGUCACAUGAGCUUGCUAUCCUGCAGCAGGGAAGAUGAUGUGGCCCAGAAGAAAGUCAGGUGGGUCAGUGCAGUCAUCCAAGCUGUGUGGUGGGGAAAUCCAGGCGUGAUGCCCUGGGAUCCCUACUUCUAACACUGAAGCACUUCUGCUACCUCACGUGGGCCUUCUGCUAGGUCCAAAAAUGCCAGACCUCAUCAGCAGUGCUCACAGCCUUCCCCUCCAGGAAGUUUUCCACACCAUGACAAAGGUGCAUUAGUUAAAAGGUCAGUUAUAGGGAAGUAACCAGAAGGUAAAUAAGUGUUUAAACAGUCCAAACUCUGUGCAGAUUUGGCCCCGAAGUGGCACAUUGGUCUUGGAAGAUGAAGAUGAAAAUGGCAACCUCAACUAAGUUUAUAUUGUUAGAUGAUCAAGCAACAGGUAGAUCUUUCUUAACUGUCACAGAACUAUGACCUGAAAUUCAGUUAGAGCCAAGUAUGAGUAUGUUGAUUACUAUCAUAGGGCACUGCCACAAUCCUACUCCAACAGUUGAUCACUUAUUUAGCAAAUGUUAAUGAAUCACAAUGAUAUUUUAAAAUGCUGUGGAAUAUGGAAAUUUUAUUGCAAAUGUUAAUAUUUGAAAUUAUAAUAUUUACUAUUAUAACUAUAUACAAAGCAAAAUGUAUAGUUUCAUCAAUGUCAACUUGCUGACAUAAGUUUUUAGAACAACACUACAAAUUACACUUUUUUUGUGUGUAGUAUGCAGAAAACAGCUGUGAUCACUUGUAUACUCACAUACAACCACUUACCUAAAUGUUCUCAGAGUGGGUAAGUGUACGUAGUUUCACAAACAGGCAAGUUUUAUGCCCUUUAAGUCUUGUGCCAAAAAAGCUGCAGAGAAAUAGAAGCUUUUAUUAAACACUAAGUAUAUUUUAAUAGAAGCAGCAAAUGGUUUGUAAUAGAAAUAUUUAUAGAUCAUACACAUGGCUGUCUUACAGCUAAAAUAAUUACUGCAGUUUAGACUUCAGUAGAAAGAAUGGAAAUUUGGGAAGGGAGAAAUCUGUGCAUUAGGUCAUUAUACACAAGGUAAUGUUUCAAUAAAUACUUUGCUUACUAAAAACAAAUACUGAAGCUAGUAGUAAAACUGGUUUAAGUUGACACUUGUUACAAAAAUCUGUAGGGUAACUUGUAUUCAUACUGUAGUCUCCACUGGAAAGAUGAGCAAGUCUCUGAUGAAUAGAAAGAGGAAUUUUCUGUUUAUCAUCUUAAGGGGAUUAUUAAUUUAAAAGGGCACUCAGUAUGUGUGAAGUAUUUCACAGAAACUUACAGGACAUGAUUGGGGUAGGGAGCAUCCAACAAAGAAAACCCACUGCUUUUGGAAUGUUACGGUGCUUAAAUUCAACUCAUGCUUACAUUUAAUUCUAUGUUUUAGCAAAAAUCACUUGAAACAUAAUGAACUGUCUUACUUUACAUCUGAAUUCCAUGGAGGCAGCUCCUUGUUGUUUCUUAAGAGCACCGUCACACAGUCCUACAUGGCUAAGAAUGCCUCCACAAAACAUACAUGCAGAUUCUGGAUAAAUCAACUAUAAACAAUAAGCCAAAGACGUGCUGAUGUACGUCCACAGUCAUACAGGUAUCACAGUAUAUGAUGAGAAUUAAAUGAAAAGCAACUUGGACAAAAUAAUUUCAAAUAUGACUGCAGGUAAUGCUUGGAGAAACUUCAGCCAUUCUAUCCUUUAUCUAUGCCAGCAUGGCACAUAGUCAGACGUGUUCAGUCUAUGCACUUUCAUAAAACCUACUGCCAAGAAGAAAGGAAUUCCCUCUGUCUUUCUGCAGUGCAUCUAGAACUGACUGUCUUCAAGAUAGAUUGCUAUCUACUACUUGGCUCAAGAUAAAUGAGUGCAAAAAAAAAAAAAAAAAAUCCACUUGCCAGGCUAAGAACAGUCUAUUUACUAAACAGCUGAAGCUAAUGAGAACAUAGAACAAGUCACGAGCCUUCAUGUACUAUUUCUGCUCUGUGUGUUAGUGGCUCUCCACCAAUGCAAAAAGCUUGGAGCAGAUAUACAUGCUGUUUUCUCUGGUCCCUCUGAUAUUCGCUUGUAGCUGCCCUUGUUCAUUAUACGUAAUUCAUUUUUACCUGACCCUACAUACAAAUUCAAGAGUUAGAAAAAGAAUAAUUCUUAUCAGCAAAUGCCAGUUUCUUCUUCUGGAAAAAAAAAAAAAAAACAAAACAAAAAACCGUUCUUUCUUAUCUUGCCCAAAGUAAGGAAGCUGCAGCCUACAGCUCCAAGGUUCAUGCAGCUACAGUAAAACUGGGCUGGAGUAGAUCACUUAACGUCCAUUGGAGGCAUAUGCUAUUAUUUUCUGUAACCCCUGUGCAGCAUUUAGAUUAGUUUAACACUUUUAGACACUGUGAGUGAAAUUGUGCUAAAUAAACAAGAUUUACGAGAAGUUCUUCUCAUCCUUCCCUUGAGGUAUAUUGGAACAUUACAGCUGCCUCUUCAGAGGGAGCUGUGUGGUUUCCAAUCUUUUCACUACUUUGGAAAAACAUUUUGUAAAAGGAAAGCCUUUGAAUUUUUACUAUUAGGUUUAAUUUUUUUAUCCUUUAGAUACCGGCUUGUCUACUAACUCUGAUGCAGUCUCACUGUGAAUCCCUCCUUUUGUGAUUUUUGCUUUGAAACGUUUUUUAAGCUUGUCAAAUUAGAUUUUGGGGGAGAUUUUUCACUCAGAGGGCGGUGAGGCCCUGGCACAGCUGCCCAGAGAAGCUGUGGUGCCCCAUCCCUGGAGGUGAUCAAGGCCAGGUUGGAUGGGCCCUGGGCAGCCUGAGCUGGUGGGUGGCAGCCCUGCUCACGGCAAAUACACGAGAAUGAGAUGAUGUGACCUUAGGGUGAGGCAGUGUUACACUGGCCAGAGGAAGAAGUUGACACAGCAAAAGCAACCAUAACAACAGGAAAGUGAAAGUUACAAGAGGUGAAUGCCUCGGGCUGAUGACUGCGGCCUAGAAGAGCACGGUGGUUUAAAAACACCCGCAUGGGUGAGCAGUACUCGGGGCAUCGAUGCCAGCCCUCACCGUUCUACCCGAGGGCGUUCAGCCCCCGCCGCUGAGGCACGGCCCUAUCCCG